GACGCCUGUAUUCGGGCUCUCAGUUCCUUAUGCCAAAUAUGGCGCGUCUCGAAAAAAAACCAUUCCCGCCCCCGGUGCUCCGGCAGCGCUCCCUUUCCGAGCACGUGGCGAGCGAGGAGCUUCUCCAUGACAGUGUCCCUGUAACGCGGGCAUCGCAACUGAUUUCGCUUAGCGCACCGCUGCGAGGCCCUCCUAUUCUGCGAGACCCAUCCUUCCCUCCUGUGUCAGUGCU
rnacentral:lncRNA from 1 species